CUUGGUUGACCGCGAGUCUCCCGGAGUAAUCUCACAUUUCCAGGGGGAUUAUCGGGUGCUAGACCAUUGUGGAGGGUUACACAAUAUUAGAAUUAAUAUAAUUAUAUAUGUUUAUACAAGGGUACAAAAGAGUCUAGAAUGUCAGUUUAGAGUGCUAUAUGCACUACCUUAGGUACCUCCCCGGGUUUUGGUUACACUACAAGUACCACCAAGUGAAAGUUAGGUCCCAC
rnacentral:lncRNA from 1 species